GGUGGCUCAGUGGUAGAGUGCUUGCCUUGCACGCCUGAGGCCCUGGGUUUGAUUCCCCAGCACCA
rnacentral:tRNA from 1 species